AUUUUAAAUGGCAUUAUAGCAACAUGUCUGCCGAUCUAACUCUAUUAAUUUAUGCAUUACAAUUCUAUUAAUUUUGGUGGGCUCGUACUUGAACAAAAGAACCAUUUGGCAAAAACUCGAUGGGUGAAUGGCAUUAAUUUGUGCGGCAGAAAUUGGUUGGGAGAUUCAACUUUUAUGCCUCAAAGUAGAGAUAAUGCAACCCUACGAGUUUAAUGGCUCUGAAUUUGAUAAGAACCAGAGAUCUCCCCCUUUCGAAAUUGGAGUUUCCAUCGAUGGCAAAGAGAGUAAGGAUGGUAUCAGUGUUCUUACUUAUUUUGCUCCUCUCCAUGUCGACCUCUCCCAAAAAUUUAUUCAAUGAAGCAACCGAACGCACGGAAAAGCUAGCAUUUCAUGACAUCGAUAAAUCGAUUCUUUCAUCAAAGUACCUUCAAAUUUAUAACAACUCCAAAUAUGGAACUUUGCAGCUGGACAAUGGCUUGGGAAAAACUCCUCCCAUGGGAUGGAAUAGUUGGAACCAUUUUGGCUGCAGUGUAGAUGAAAGGGUCAUCAAAGAAACCGCGGAUGCACUUGUUGCCACGGGACUGGCUGAAUUAGGCUAUGUAUACGUCAACAUAGAUGAUUGCUGGGCCAACAAAGGGAGAAUUCUGGUUUUCGUGUUUCCUCUCUUGGCUCCUGAUCCGAAUACUUUUCCUUCAGGGAUUAAAGCCCUUGCUGAUUAUGUACAUGAGAAAGGCUUGAAGCUUGGAAUAUACGGCGAUGCUGGGAAAUUAACCUGCCAGCAACGACCAGGGUCGUACGGCUUUGAACUUUUGGAUGCAAGAAUGCUAGCAGCUUGGGAGGUGGAUUAUUUGAAGUAUGAUAACUGUUAUGAUAUGGGAAUCAGUCCACAAAAAAGAUACCCAGCUAUGCGUGAUGCCCUAAAUUCAACUGCCCGAAACAUUUUCUACUCAAUUUGUGAAUGGGGUGUUGAUGAUCCGGCAUUAUGGGCUCCUAGAGUUGGAAACAGUUGGCGUACAACAAUUGACAUAAGUGAUUCAUGGGAAAGCAUGACUAGAAUUGCAGAUAUCAAUGAUAAGUGGGCAGAGUAUGCAGGACCUGGUGGUUGGAAUGAUCCAGAUAUGUUGGAAGUUGGCAAUGGUGGCAUGACCUAUCAAGAAUACAGAAGCCAUUUUAGCAUCUGGGCUUUAAUGAAGGCCCCUCUGUUGAUUGGUUGUGAUGUGAGAAACAUGUCUCCACAAACUUUGGAAAUUCUAAGCAAUAAGGAAGUCAUUGAUGUAAACCAAGGGAAACUUAAAUUAUGGACGCAGAUAGUCUUGGGCUCCAGGGAAGAAAAAUUAAAGUUUCUGGCAAAGAUGGUUGUCUUCAGGUGUGGGCAGGUCUCUUAUCAAGUUCUGCACCUGAGAUUCGCUUGGCUAUUGUUCUUUGGAAUCGAUGUUCAACUGCUUCAAUGAUCUCAGUAAGCUGGCUUGAACUUGGAGUUAUAUUCGACGUCAUUGUCUCAGUAAGGGACUUAUGGGAGCACAAAUUUCUAGACAGCAUUAGCCGUGAUUCAUUUGGGGCUGAAGUUGACUCUCAUGACUGCAAGAUGUAUAUCAUGACGCAUAUCCCCUUGUUCCAUUCUGAAUCUUAGACAAUGCUCAGAGACGGGAAGGCCAAGAGAUUUAUGUGAAAGAGCUAGAUUAUGUCAUUACUUAAAUAAAAAGGGUAUCUAGUUUCUCGAUCUCUAUUCCUUUAUGUAAAAGGUAAUCAAAAGUGGAGAGAUUCGUAUCAAAAUGAGUCCUUUAAAUCCACUAGUCUCCCUUUAUAAGUGACUUGUGAGUGAUAAUAAAAUAUGUUAUGAAGUAUUAUUGAAGGGUGUUCCUAUCUAGAACCUAUCAGUUAUACUAUUGAAUCUCUUUCUUA